rnacentral:rRNA from 1 species
CUUAGUACGGCGAGUGAAGCGGCAAAAGCUCAAAUUUGAAAUCUGGUACCUUCGGUGCCCGAGUUGUAAUUUGGAGAGGGCAACUUUGGGGCCGUUCCUUGUCUAUGUUCCUUGGAACAGGACGUCAUAGAGGGUGAGAAUCCCGUGUGGCGAGGAGUGCGGUUCUUUGUAAAGUGCCUUCGAAGAGUCGAGUUGUUUGGGAAUGCAGCUCUAAGUGGGUGGUAAAUUCCAUCUAAAGCUAAAUAUUGGCGAGAGACCGAUAGCGAACAAGUACAGUGAUGGAAAGAUGAAAAGAACUUUGAAAAGAGAGUGAAAAAGUACGUGAAAUUGUUGAAAGGGAAGGGCAUUUGAUCAGACAUGGUGUUUUGUGCCCUCUGCUCCUUGUGGGUAGGGGAAUCUCGCAUUUCACUGGGCCAGCAUCAGUUUUGGUGGCAGGAUAAAUCCAUAGGAAUGUAGCUUGCCUCGGUAAGUAUUAUAGCCUGUGGGAAUACUGCCAGCUGGGACUGAGGACUGCGACGUAAGUCAAGGAUGCUGGCAUAAUGGUUAUAUGCCGCCCGUCUUGAA